CAUAUUUGUACUCAUUCCGCCAUUUUGUUAUAAUUAUUCCAUUGCGAACAGAUUGGGUGUCUGAAAUUCGGAGUCCAUUUUUGUACUCAUUCCGCCAUUUUGGUAUAAUUAUUCCAUUGCGAACAGAUUGGGUGUCUGAAAUUCGGAGUCCAUUUUUGUACCCAUUCCGCCAUUUUGUUAUAAUUAUUCCAUUGCGAACAGAUUGGGUGUCUGAAAUUCGGAGUCCAUUUUUGUACUCAUUCCGCCAUUUUGUUAUAAUUAUUCCAUUGCGAACAGAUUGGGUGUCUGAAAUUCGGAGUCCAUUUUUGUACUCAUUCCGCAAUUUUGUUAUAAUUAUUCCAUUGCGAACAGAUUGGGUGUCU